rnacentral:rRNA from 1 species
UACGUAGGGAGCAAGCGUUGUCCGGAAUCAUUGGGCGUAAAGCGCGCGUAGGUGGCCUCAUAAGUCCGCUGUGAAAGUCAAAAGGCUCAACCUUUGAAAGCCGGUGGAUACUGUGAGGCUAGAGUACGGAAGAGGCGAGUGGAAUUCCUGGUGUAGCGGUGGAAUGCGCAGAUAUAGGAGGAACACCAAUAGCGAAGGCAGCUCGCUGGGACGUUACUGACACUGAGGCGCGAAAGCGUGGGGAGCGAACAGG